rnacentral:antisense_RNA from 1 species
UUGUUAAAAGAGAAAUCGGAUGAGCACUCUUGUUGUCCCAUAUGGUAUCUGAGGUGU